GAUGAACGCUAGCGGCAGGCUUAAUACAUGCAAGUCGAACGGUAACAGGUCUUCGGACGCUGACGAGUGGCGCACGGGUGAGGAACACGUACACAAUCUACCUUAUACUGGAGAAUAGCCCCGGGAAACUGGGAUUAAUACUCCAUAGUCUUUAAUGAUCACAUGAGAAAUAAAGUAAAGCUUCGGCGGUAUAAGAUGAGUGUGCGUCCCACUAGAUUGUUGGUGAGGUAACGGCUCACCAAGUCGACGAUGGGUAGCUGGCGUGAGAGCGCGACCAGCCACACUGGCACUGAGACACGGGCCAGACUCCUACGGGAGGCAGCAGUAGGGAAUAUUGGUCAAUGGACGAAAGUCUGAACCAGCCAUGCCGCGUGGAGGAUGACUGCCCUCUGGUUGUAAACUCCUUUAUAUGGGAAGAAACCUCUGGAUUCACUCCAGAGCUGACGGUAUCAUAUGAAAUAAGCACCGGCUAACUCCGUG
rnacentral:rRNA from 1 species